CAAGGAAGCCGUGUCAGUGGGAACAUCCUGAACCUAAUGCAAUGGCAAUUUGGAAGAACGCUGCAGAAGAAGGAGGAUGCAUGGAUGAGCAAAUGGAUUUCUGGCCUCCAUAAAUAGCAAAAGACUCUGAAAUUGCACCCAUUGGAGCUAGAGACAACGGACGAGCUGAAACUGUGCUGUUUGCAUAUGGGGAAUAUGCAGCUGACUCCCUCCGGCCAUUCAGAAGGUGGAAAAAUCCUGGUGUUGAACAAGGUGGAGAUUGAGGGCCUCACAUGUCACCUAAUCUAGCUGGCUGGGCUGGCUGGCACGACAGCAAAUUGUAUUUCCGCUCCAAGAAGUAUAGAAGGUGAUUGCCUAGUGAGAUCUGCUCUCUACAGACCUACAGCAAUUCUUCCAGAGGCCUCCUCUCCAAAUGUGGAAUAAUUUUGUAAGGGAUUGACGGCGAUUGCCAAAAUCUCUCUGCCCUGAAGCUAGCAAGACAAACAGACAGACAAACAGCCAGGAAUAGUACAGAAGAGCGGUGCUCGGGCCCAGGGGAGCACACGCCAGCGCACCCCUAAGCGCACCUCAGUGCUGGGAGAGCACAGCCCUCCCAUACACGCACACACCACGCUCCACCGAGACGCUCCAUUUCAGCCAGUGUUGGAGGUCAAUCCUUCCUCUCGAUACUGGAAACGUUUCCGUUUCUCCUCUGGAUCUGACCCGAAGUCCCGGGACCCGAUGCCAUUCUGAAGAUUUAUUAGUGAAUCCUUCAUCUGCAAGACAAGAAAUUUCUCCACUGUGAUGCUGCCCUAGAGCGUGUCAGGGCUGGGAUGUACAAAUGGGGACUGAGAAGAUGGGAGCCCUUGAGAGACCAUUCUCCAAGAGAAUAGAGAAGGGGUGAGCAGAACGAGGUACAGGGUAAGCAGCUCUCCAGGGGGGCGAGCAGCUUUCAUUUCUGAACUCCGUUCUGAGCAGCCCGGUGUACAACCAACCAGCUCUUUAGGCAGUGGAUACCGAAACCCCUAGCUUUGUGCUAUUUACGGGCCCACGCAGAGUGCGUCCCCUUCAUCCACGUAAGCUACGUAUGAAUCCAGGGUUUGCUUUCCAAACCGGGGUGCCAGAGACUAGAUGCAAGAUGUGCUAAUAUGAGGUUUUUGGCCCUGUAGAAUUCUCUCCUUGACGCGUGUGAACCCCUGUGAGGUGACAGAGAAGCUGCGGCAUCCUGCAAAUAGCCCUCGGGACCUGCCACCCACCACUAACAUCAGAAGACAGAUCUACAGGGAGAUGGUAGCAGAGGUGACGCACCCACUGGACUACAGUGGAACCAGGUAUGUGCAGUAUCCAUCCCCUCCCCUCAGGCCCAAUUAACCCUCCAGACCAGGGCUGGAGGCUGCUGAGUGGAGCAGAAUCAGAGCAGAUGCAAGCACUGAUGGGAGGAUCAUCAGGACUGGCUGCCCCGAGGUGCCACCCCAGGGCAGGUGCCAGCGGCGAGCCUGGCGAGGAAGUGGAGCUUGGCUGGACCCAGCCCAGGAUAAAUCUCAGUCGAGCAGAGCGAUGCAAGGAGCGGAGCAACGACGAGCGGAGUCAAGGCACUUAGCACCGGCAGUUGGCAUCAGCAGGAAGGCGCGGCAAGUGGCACCCCACUCUGCCCGUUUCUCCUGAGAGAGGCUACAGUGGAGAUUUUCAAGCCUCCUUUAUGGAGGUCUCUGCGUUAGUGAGAGCUCAUCUGCAGCCAGAACUCACUUCUGGGAAAUCAUCUCUAAACGGUCCAGCUUCUGCCUGACAUGGUAUCGCUCGUCAAAAUCGCCACCUAGGACCAGACCUGAAUAGCUUUUGCCAGACCAGAGGAAAGAAGUAACAGACGGCUCCUCACACACACUGAGCCCUGUUGUGAUAGCACAGUACCUCCCUCCCAGAGAGCUCUGCACGGUCAUCUUUCAUGAUAACAGCUAGUUUGUCAGCA